UUAUUUCAGCAGCCAUUACAGGAGA
rnacentral:piRNA from 1 species